GACCGCCCCGGGGACCGCCGGCUGAGUUCCGGGUCGCCGCGAAGCCGCUGGGCUGUGCUGGAGCCCACCUGGCCUGACCGCUCGCUCGGUCCCGUACCCCAGCCGCGCUCAGGCCUCACCACUAGCUGAGCUGGCGCUAGCACAUCCUGUUUUGACCACACCCUGAAGAUUUGAGAAGUGUUCCUUCAUCCUAAGAGUUUCUCUGCAAAAGUUAGUGUCCUUCCAGAUGAUGAAUCAAACUUCCGCUCCAAAUGUCUUGUGUCGAGUGUCUGCAAAGCACGGUACCAGGAGCUUUGGCGGAGAGACCAUGAGCUACACUGCGUAAGGAGCAAAAGCUUUCAGUGAGACCUGAGGUCUCUUCACGUCACUGCUUGAGUGUCCUCACAACAUGGCAGCAGGAUUCCCCCAGAAUGAGAGGUCCAAGAGACAAAGGCAGAAGCAGGAAUGCCUUUCAUCUCGGACAUUACACCUUUUCACCUCCAUGGUGCUCUUUUGGUCACAGAAACCAGCCCUGAGUCAGCAUGGGAGGAGAGUACAUACAAGCAUGAAUACCAGGAGGGAUAAAAUCUGCUUAAAAUGGCCAUUGAGAGCAGGCUUGAUCCACAGAAUCAAGGUUACAGCAGUAGAGCACAGAGGAAAGCAGCAGAAGGUGGAGGUGUUCCAGGAGAAAUGCACUCCCGUCCAAAGGGGAGGCACAUCACAGAGCGGCAGGUCAGAGGACUGGUUUGGGUACAGGUCUGUUCUCAGGUAACCAGGCUGACCUGCUCUGCAGACAGGUGGGAAGAGAGCUGUAUGGGCUGAUUCUCACCCAGGAGUAGGCUCAACGACUCAGAGAUUUUAGAACCAAAAGGUCACAGAAGUCUCUCAUUUCAACUCCUGGCUCUUACAGAAUAAGGAACCGAAAUACAAAGAAGUGAAAUGAUGGGCUCCACAGCCAAAGGACCUCAAGCCUAUUUUUUGUCAUUUUUUUGUUUUGGGGGGCAUGGUACGGAGGUGUCAGGGAGACAGCUUAGGACCAGUGCCUCCCGUUCCUGCGGGCAUUGGGACUGCUGCUGAGUCACAGAGCAGCCAAACAGAGGUCUAACGAGACACGGGGAAGUCUAGAAGCACUUGUUCCAAUAGGACCUGUUUCAUAAACAAGAGGACCAGUUUCAUAAACAAUGCUUGGCACCUGGCGUGUCUUAUGAAGGAAUUCACCCAAGAAGAUCUUUUCCUUAGAAACUCUUCUAGCCUCCAGAGUCUGGUUUUAAUUGCCUUUAGCAAAAUUUCAGAACCUUUAGUGCACUGCAGGAGCUGAGCUGGAUACAAAGAUGCACAAGAUACAAUAAAGAGUAAGCCUUGUACUUCUAGGAGUCCUAACUCUCACGGGGUCAGAAGUGAAUCAAAGGAUUAUGAUACAACGGGAUAAAUAUAAUAAUAUCUGUGGCACAGAAGAGGGAGGGAGUAACUGCUGGGGGGGUGGGGAGCUUGGGAAAGUGGACUGAGAAGGCCUCACGAAAGUGACAUGAUGGAAGGUGAAGAAGGAACGAUAGGAGCACCUCAGACCUCCAAGUCCAACUCUAAAAUAACAGCAUUCAACCAAACUUCCCUGAAACACCACUAUGAUCCCUCAAGGAUUGACAAAGCAGCUGUUCUUGCCCCCAUUUACUUCUCAUUAUGUAAUGGAAACUGCGCAUACAUGUAACAUGUUUAAAAGUAAAUGAUGGAUAAAAUGAGCCCACGGGCCCCAUCAGUCAGGAUCAGCAGGGCCAGGCUGACCUUCAGAGACGGUGCACCAGAAAGUGAAGGAGGCUCUUCACAUAUAAUUUAAUACCGCAACCACAUGCUUCUAAGGAAGCCCUGCACAGUUCUGUCUUGCCCCACAAUAACACUUUUCAAAUGUUUUUGAAAAUAUCAGAUAGCCAACCGAGACUCGAAUGAUGCUUUUCUCCUUAUUGUUGUGCUCCUGCUUUGCUAGCGCCCCAAGCACGUUUGGCCUGUCCGCGGGUGAUCCUGCUCUGACCAGGCAGCCCCUUUCCACUCCAAGACACCCCAGACGAGGCUGGCCUCGACAAGCUCAUGUUCCUGUUCUUAAGCAAAUGGACGGAGAGCUGGGCUUUCACUUCCCCACACAGCCCAUGCAUUAUGACUUUGUGCUUUACCCAUUCUGUCAAUAACCUUACAACUCAGGAAAGCCACCUGCAGCCUUGCGGUCUGGCUAGACAUGAAGAAAGGGGCUGACGUGAGAAACUGUUUCCUUACAUGAGCUCGGCAGCAGGUGGUCAGAGGAAGACCGUAUGACAGUGAAGCAUUUGUGAGCGCAGGCAGGCGUCUGAAACAGGUCUGAGUGUAGCACUUGCUCUUUCACUUCACCGUGGGAUCUUGGGCCAGUGAUUUCACCCUGGUGAGCCCAAGUUUUAUCUUCUAUAAAUGUGCUUCAAAAGAGCACCUACCUUGUGAGGUCAUUCUUUCAACACAUACUUCAAAUGUCCCUACUGUGUGCCAGGCACCGUUCUUGAAGAAAGAGAUACAAUGGUGAACAAACAAAAAUCCCAGCCCUAGAGCUUACCUUCUAGGGUAAGAAGAUAGACAACAAAAAUAAAAAGAAUAUUUAUCGUGUUAGAAAGGAAAGGGGUUAGGGAGCGUUGGGAGAGAUGCCAUUUUAGGUGGAAUGACCAGAAGGGCCUGAGCGAGCAGGUGACUUGGUAGAUGCAAGCUAAGCAGCAAAAGGACAUCCGGGGGCCCACCUUCCAGGGAGAAGGAACAGCCUGAGCAGAGGCCCUGAGGCAGAAGCAAGUCUAGUAGGUCUGAAGAACAGUGAGUGAAUCUGGCUGAAACCGACUGAGGGUGGGAAGAGACAGGAGGGAAAUGAGGUCAGAGCUCAGGAGGGCAGAAGAGUGGCAGGCUCCGACUUGCAUUCGAAUAGCAUCACUCCUGGGAAACCGGUUGGGAAGCUACUGUAGUGAUCCAGGUGAGAGAGAAAGCACACCACGUCCUAACCUCGGCGCCUGGCACGAACCGGCUCUGGAUAAGAGUGCCCACUGACCUGAAGCCGCGCGUGCGUAGCUGGCGAGGGAAGACCUCAGCUUUGUUCUCCUUUCUGCCCCUCUCUCAGCCAUCCAUCUACUGCCCACGUCGUCUUCCUCAAUCACCCUGCUUGUCAUCUUCUUCCCCUUUUCUUCUCUCUCUGCUUCCUCUUCACUCUGCUGUCUGCCUUUACUUUCUCUUAUGAAUGGUCUGUCCUCCAGGGCCGAGUUUUGGGGGGGUGGUUUUGCAUCUUGGGGAGAGAGCAGUGCACCUCCUGGCCUGUGAGUUCCACAGGGCGCAUCAGUGGGACCAGACGUGGGGUGACAGGCACAGAAGGUGCCCAGAGAGGUGGCUCUGCCGUGCAGGUUGUACUGGGGCCGUAGGCAGAGUUUUGUAGCCUGGUCAGCAUUCCACCACGACAAGAGAAGCCCCUCUCGGAGUUUUAGGCAAUUCCGUAAAGGACGCCGGUGCAGGGGGUUAAGAGGCUGACACCACCGCAGCUAGACCAGGAGAGCAGAGAUCAAAAGGCCGUUCUCAGGAAAUCAAGAAGUGUAGGGACUGUAGGGAGACCAUCACAGAUAACCCCAAAGCCUUCAGCACCAAAGCGAGUGCUUCUCAGAAGGAACCUCCCUGAUACCAGCCACCACUUUAGUGUCGCAGUACCAGGUAAAUGGUCACAGCAGACAACAGGGGCAUUCCCAGAAGGCAUUCUGACAGCAGGACCACCAGCCAUGACGUAACUAAGCAUCGUGACCCAACUCGACGCGACAUAACACAGAAAUGUCUGCAAAUCACAGGAACAUGUGGCACUACAGCCAAAUUCAUCAUGUCCCUGGCUCAACUUGCCCUCAUCCGGAGCUUAAGAUACCCAGGGCCACUCUCAUCCCCCUGACAAGGUGACAGAAGGGAAGUCAGAGUGGAGAGACACAGGACCUUAACUAACUGAUUUAAAAUAUCUUACUUUUGCUAAUUUUACAAAAACAUCUGGCCCUGUGCAUAUGCACGUUGCUCGGACCCCUCCCAGGGCCCUCGAGGGUGUGCUAUGAGUGGGGGCUCCUGAAGCUUUAGCUUCUCAUGGAAAAUCUGUCUUUGCCUGGAACCGAAGCAAUUUACCUUCACUGGCCAGAGAGCUGAUUCCAUCAUAGGAAGGGGCUUUGGGCCAGUGUGAAGUUUCCUUAGGAAUUGUUUGCAGCAGUAAUGUUUUUUACUCAGCUUGGAAACUGCUAAUAGCACUACUAGAUGAUUUAUUAAAUUGAUACAAAUUUGAAUUAGUAGAAAAUGAGCCACUGUGUGUAGCCUUUACUCUCAGACUUCUGAAUCACCUCCCUUUAAGUCAGUAGGACCCAAACUAGUCUAUUCAACAAAAAAUUAUUGCGGGCAUACGCCAUGCGGGUACAACCAUGAACUCUGAUUGUAAGGGGCCUUCAGGGGAGGAGACCAGUAAUCAAAUAAUCAGUCAAGGACUAGAGGGCGUCCCACUGAGAAAAUGGACAAGUGAUCCUAAUCUAGUGUUCUAUAACAGGAAAGACUGAAGGAUUCAUUCUUUCAACAAUUUUGGGGGGCUGCCUACUCUGUGCCCACACAAUGCUAAGGGCCAGGAUAAGGGCGAGCAAAAAAGCUGCGGCAUCCCUGCCUUUCUAGAACCGUCCCCUGGAUGAAACAUUAUCACAGAAUCACAUUGCAUCUAUCCUUACUGACAACCCAGCGAUGGCCUCUCUGAAGGAGUGCAGCAGGUGCACCAGUGAGCAUAUUUGAAGGGGGUUGGUGCAGCAGGACAGACUUUCAGGAGGGGCCACAGUGCACUGAGAACCAGAGGCAAUUUAACCCAUGAGUGAGGAGGUGGCAGGGCUUGUGGGAGUCUCCCAGGCAAAAGGAGCUGCAGGAAAAAAGACCUUGGGGGCGGGAGGAAUGUAGGAGGGAGAAAAAGACAAAAAGAAGCCAGCAUGGCUGAGCAGCUCCAGCGGAGGACAGGAGAGAGUAUGGAUACAUGGGGCUGGAAAAACAGCAAUGCACUGGUGUGCCUAAAGCCAACGGGAGCCCCAGAAGUUCCUGAGGAGUGGAGAAACAUUGCUCGGUUGGCAUUAAAUGGACAGCUCUGGCUGCAGCGAGAAUAUUGGAUUACGAGGGUUGCUUUGACAGUAGCUGCAUCCUAAUUACGUCCCCCUUUCUCACUUUCCUUUCCGGUAGCCACAGAGAUUUAAAUAAAUGCCUGCCAGAUACUCAGUUCAAAGCACCCGACAAUGAAGGGCUAUGUGGCUUGGAGAAGAACACACUGCCUUCAGUCAGGCAGACGCAAAUUAGAUCUUCCCUCCACCUCCACUCAACUGGUGGCCCCGGCGAGUCACUCACCCUCUCUCCAACCCACUUGCGAGUCACUCGCCCUAUUUACAACCCACUCUCCACCCGCUCCGUAACAUGGGGAGAACAAUGCCUCCCGCGCGGAGUUAAUGAGCAACAGAAAGGGGUGCGCAAAUUAUCUGGCAUUUGGCAGAACUCGGGACACACCAGCUACUAUUGGAAGUGACUGCAGUGUAGGCAAGCUAGUCGGGAGAAGAUUUCCAACCAGAAGUAACGCUAGCAUAAGCACUGGGAAUAUAGUGCAAUCUCUCCUAUUUAAAAAAAAAAAAAAAGAAAUAUACACAAUAUCAUAUAUAUUUAUGUGAAGAGUACAUUUUUAUAGAGAGCCGUCUAAUGAAAUCUUCCUACCAGCAGUGUUGGGAAACAAGUCUAUGUUAUCUACGCAAUUAAAAUAUAUACACAUAUACAAUAAAGUUGAAAAGUUUUCUCAAUAAAUUACGUUGUGCAAGA